rnacentral:rRNA from 1 species
AUACGGAGGAUGCAAGCGUUAUUCGGAAUCACUGGGCGUAAAGGACGCGUAGGCGGGUUGGCAAGUCAGAUGUGAAAUCCUACAGCUUAACUGUAGAACUGCAUUUGAAACUGCUAACCUAGAGUAUGGGAGGGGGAGAUGGAAUUAGUGGUGUAGUGGUAAAAUCCGUAGAUAUCACUAGGAAUACCGAAAGCGAAGGCGAUCUCCUGGAACAUAACUGACGCUAAGGCGUGAAAGCGUGGGGAGCAAACAGGAUUAGAAACCCCAGUAGUCC